rnacentral:rRNA from 1 species
ACAAUGGAGAGUUUGAUCCUGGCUCAGGAUGAACGCGGGCGGCGUGCCUCUCACCUGCAAGUCGAACGGUCACUGCGGUGAUGGUGGCGGCCGGGUGAGUUACGCGUCAGAAUCUACCCACAGGACGGGGACAACAACUGGAAACGGUUGCUAAUACCCGAUGUGCCGAGAGGUGAAAUGUAAUUGGCCUGAGGAAGAGCUUGCGUCUGAGGAGCUAGUUGGUAGU